CAAUAAGUUAAGUAAGGGCGUAUGGCGGAUGCCUAGGCUCUCAGAGGCGAUGAAGGACGUGAUAAGCUGCGAAAAGUUACGGGGAGGGGCACAUACCUUAUAAUCCGUAAAUAUCCGAAUGGGGCAACCCGGCAUGUUGAAGACAUGUCACCUAGCAAUAGGAGUAAACCCGGUGAACUGAAACAUCUAAGUAACCGGAGGAAGAGAAAACAAUAGUGAUUCCGUCAGUAGCGGCGAGCGAACGCGGAAUAGCCCAAACCAAAGUUGUUACGGCAAUUUUGGGGUUGUAGGACCACGAUAUUCGAUGCUAAGAGAAUUAGAACUGUUUGGAAAGACAGACCACAGAGGGUGAUAGUCCCGUAAAAGUAAUCGAAGAUAUUGAUAGUGGUAUCCUGAGUAGUGCGGGACACGAGUAAUCCUGUAUGAAUCCACCGGGACCAUCCGGUAAGGCUAAAUACUCCUGAGAGACCGAUAGUGAACUAGUACCGUGAGGGAAAGGUGAAAAGAACCCUAAGUAAGGGAGUGAAAGAGAUCCUGAAACCGUACGCCUACAAGCGGUCGGAGCAACUUCGUGUUGUGACGGCGUGCCUUUUGCAUAAUGAGCCUACGAGUUACUGUUUCUAGCAAGGUUAAAUGUUUAAGACAUGGAGCCGUAGCGAAAGCGAGUCUGAAUAGGGCGCUUUAGUUAGUAGUAGUAGACGCGAAACCGAGUGAUCUACCCAUGGGCAGGUUGAAGCUGUGGUAACACACAGUGGAGGACCGAACCAGUUGACGUUGAAAAGUCUUUGGAUGACCUGUGGGUAGGGGUGAAAGGCCAAUCAAACUCGGAAAUAGCUCGUACUCCCCGAAAUGCAUUUAGGUGCAGCGUUGAGUAAAGUUUUAUAGAGGUAGAGCUACUGAUUGGAUGCGGGGGCUUCACCGCCUACCAAUUCCUGACAAACUCCGAAUGCUAUAAAAUGUUUCUCAGCAGUGAGGGCAUGGGUGCUAAGGUCCAUGUCCGAGAGGGAAAGAACCCAGACCAUCAGCUAAGGUCCCCAAAUAUAUGUUAAGUUGAAAAAACGAGGUUUGUCUGCCCAGACAGCUAGGAUGUUGGCUUGGAAGCAGCCAUUCAUUUAAAGAGUGCGUAACAGCUCACUAGUCGAGCGGACGAGCAUGGAUAAUAAUCGGGCAUAAACAUAUUACCGAAGCUAUGGAUUUACAGUUUACUGUAAGUGGUAGGGGAGCAUUGUAACCUGCGUAGAAGGUGUGCUGUGAGGCAUGCUGGAGUGGUUACAAAAGAAAAUGUAGGCAUAAGUAACGAUAAUGCGGGCGAGAAACCCGCACGCCGAAAGACUAAGGUUUCCUCAGCGAUGCUAAUCAGCUGAGGGUUAGUCGGGUCCUAAGGCGAAUCCGAAAGGAGUAGUCGAUGGCUAACAGGUUAAUAUUCCUGUACUUCUUAUAAUUGCGAUGGGGUGACGGAGUAAUGAAAGCACCGCGUACUGACGGAAUAGUACGUUGAACUGAGUAGCUAUUGGAACUGUAGGCAAAUCCGCAGAUCUAGGUGAAUCAGGAUAGUACCAUAAGGCUUCGGCUGCGUGGAUAGUGUGCCUAAAGGCUUCCAAGAAAAACCUCUAAGCUUCAGAUUAUAAGAACCCGUACCGUAAACCGACACAGGUAGUUGGGAUGAGAAUUCUAAGGCGCUCGAGAGAUUCAUGGCUAAGGAACUAGGCAAAAUAGACCCGUAACUUCGGGAGAAGGGUCGCCACGCUUUACAGCGUGGCCGCAGUGAAAAGGUCCAGGCGACUGUUUAUCAAAAACACAGGGCUUUGCUAAAUUGAAAGAUGAUGUAUAAGGCCUGACACCUGCCCGGUGCUGGAAGGUUAAGUGGAGGGUUUAGCUUCGGCGAAGAUCUGAAAUGAAGCCCCAGUAAACGGCGGCCGUAACUAUAACGGUCCUAAGGUAGCGAAAUUCCUUGUCGGGUAAGUUCCGACCUGCACGAAUGGUGCAACGAUCUGGACACUGUCUCAGCCAUGAGCUC
rnacentral:rRNA from 1 species